AUGAUGGGCAGAUUUAGGCGGCUGAUCAGCGAUCUCGCGUUGAAGGAGGUCUAUCUCAAUGGUCGCCGGUAUACCUGGUCGAACGAGCAGUCCCCCACCCUCGUGCACCUUGACAGGGUGCUCUGCACUUCUGACUGGGAGGAAGCCCAUGCUGCCUGCAGCCUCCGAUGCCUCGCAUCGGUCAUCUCAGCACAUUAA
rnacentral:rRNA from 1 species